AUAUUUCAAUUCAGUCUGUUUGGAAUAUCCUGGAAGUUCAUUACAAAUAUUCUUUUUUUAAAUAAAUUCUUGUAUUAUUCAAACUCAAUUUCAUCUCUAUUCCACAAUUCUGAGAGGGGAAGAUUUGCUCGUUUCUACUGAUAGUCUAACAAUGGCAGAAGUCAAAAUUCGAGAUUUAAAUCAAAAUGAAGGGGUUUCAACAACUCAAGGUAAUGCGUGCAGAUUGCUUAAGUCACUUUAUGGUCUAAAUGUCAUUUUGAACAAUUUCCUGGUUAAUAUUGGAUUUCAAAGAUCAAAACACGACAAUUUUCUGCAUACCAAAUUUGAAAAAGGAAAUGAUUACAUGUAUAUCAUAAUGUUCAUGGAUGAUUUAUUAAUAGCUGCAACAAAUAUUACUUCCGUUAACAACUUAAAAUGUGAAUUGUCGAAACAAUUUGAACUGUCUUAAUGUGGAGAUUUUAAAAUUUUUCCUUGAAGUGCAGAAUAAUAUAUUGAUGUUGUCUCAAGAAGCUGAUAUUAAAAAUGUACUACAAAAGUUUUUAAUGCAAGAGUGCAAUCCUGUGAAAACGCCAAUGGAGAAGGCCAUGCAAUUAAGAAAAACGGAAAACUCAAACAUUAGAAAACCUUACAAAGAACUACUGGGAAGUUUAAUGUACAUUAUGCUUUGCGUGAGACCCGAGAUAUGCUCUCAUGUUGGUUAUCUUGAAAGGUUUCAACAACAGCCUUCAGAACAACAUUGGAUAAAUCUUAAAAGGGUUCUAAGAUUUUUGAAAUGGUCUAUGAACUGAAAACUUCUUUAUGAACCAAAUGAGGGCGACAUAUUAACUAGGUACGCCGAUGUUGACUGGGGAAGUGAUAUAAAUGAUAGGAAAUCUGUCAGUGGAUAUAUUUUCAUAGUAUUCGGCUGUACUGUAUCCUGGUCCAGUAAAAAACAACAAACUGUUGCAACAUAUUGUUCAAACCUCACUUUAAACGCAUCUACAGUAUGGCCACUUUACAAAAGAGAGGGAACAAAAUUGAGAUAUUCAAGCAAGUUUUUCCAAUAAAAACUAAUCAAUUGAAUACAACUCAUCAAUUUAAUAUAACUUCUAACUGAACUAUCGUAUGUUGACGCCUACUGCACCAAAGUCUUUGUAAAUUAUGCAUCAAAAUGAAAAUCGAACCACUAAUGUAUUCGUAAAUCGCAAAACACAAAGCCAAUCUCGGCCAAAAUUUCCAAAAAAAAUACAAAUGCAAAUUUUGCCCAUGACCAUUCCACAAAGGAACAGGGGAAAAAAUGUUGCCAGCAUUAGGAGGGGAAAACCGCCGCAAAAACUUUUUUCUGAUGGUUUCGUCAGGAUUCGAACCAAGGCGUUCAGCGUCAUAGGCGGACGUGCUAACCUAUGCGCCACGAUGACCUCCAAAUUUCCAAAAAUAAAAAUUUUAAUUUGAAUAUCCCCGAAACCAGUAAAGAAAGUGUAAACCUCAAAAAUACUUUUCACUUUAACACCUCAGGCCUAAUUAUUUCUAAUUUCAAAGAGUUAUCUCUAUCCGUUCUCAAAUGACAUUUUUAUACCCUUCACCAUAGGAUGGGGGUAUACUAAUUUCGUCAUUCUGUUUGUAACUACUCGAAAUAUUCGUCUGAGAC